rnacentral:tRNA from 1 species
GUGGCUCAGUGGUAGAGUGUUUGCCUUGCAUGCAUGAGGCCGGGGUUCAAUUCCUCAGC